GUUACAAUUCAUUUUUGAAAUGAAGUUGAUUAAGGAAUAACGCGAGAUCGCAGUUAGCCAAUCAGAAUAACGUAUCAUAAUGGAACAUACAUCUAAUGUAAUUAUUGAUAAAUAUACAAAAAAGAUUUAUAUGUAUACUUAAAUUACAAAUCGAAAUAACUGUUUACUUUUUUAAGAGAUGGUUCUUAUUUGAUUAAUGUUUUUCAUUUACAUUCUUUCCCCAUACUUUGCAAUAUAAAGUUCAUCCUAGAUUUACAUAAUUUAUUUGAAAUCCUUAAUUUAAAAUAUUAAAAUCAAUUGAGCUGACAAAUGAGGAACCUAUCUUUGAUUUCAUUAAUUUGCCGUAAAAUGAUCUGGUUUUGUUUAAGGAAUUGCCUUUUAGACAAAAAACUUAAAUAUGAAAACUUAAUGAAAAAUGUCCAUGCUCUGUCUAUUUCACUCUUUGAUCCUUAUCAUUUUUGGUGCCCAUAACCAAAGCAUAGACACUGCCAUAGCUUUAUUUCGAGAUAACCAUCAUCAUCCACCACUUUUCCUUAUACUUGUGUUAUAACUUAAAACCUUCUUAAUAUCUUGUCUAUAUAAUAAUAUUGUGCACCUCCUUAUUUCUAGAUUUGAACCGAAGCAGUAUUGGGGAUUCACUUAUCAAGGCCUGGGGUUUGAAUCAUUUUGUAAGCUUUGCCUGCAGUACCUCUAGUUUAAGUUUUGCUGCAUUGUGAAAAUUUCAUAUCAUUAACAUAAUAAGUAAGUUCUUUCAAUGAAAGCGUUAUUUUUGUUUUGUUGAUGUCUUGAAACUACAAUUGUAUAGUUGUAGAAUUAUGAAAAUCUGAUGGUUAUUCAGGAUCUUUUUAAAUGCACACUGAAACAUCAUUCCACGUACGUAUUAUUGUGUUUUUAUGUAUUACAUUAAUAAACUUACUGCAUACAUCUAUGUAUUGUCUUAUCUUUAUGCGGACAUUAUACGAAAAUUCAAGUUGAGUUAGAUAAUAUCAAGGACAAGGGAUAGGCAUAGACAUAUUUACUAAAUAUACCAGAGUGACAUUCAAACUCAUAAAUUGAAAGCAAAAUGACCACCGAACUCCGAGGUUAAUUCGGAAAGUUUUUUAGCAAAUAAAAAACAAAAACACAG
rnacentral:lncRNA from 1 species